GGGGCUGGAGUGCCGGUAGUUCGCAUCGAGGGGGUCAGGGGUUCAAAUCCCCUCAGCUCCA
rnacentral:tRNA from 1 species